AAAAUGAAGUUCAAUAUUGCAAAUCCUACCACUGGGUGUCAGAAGAAGCUCGAGAUAGAUGAUGACCAGAAACUCCGUGUGUUUUUUGACAAAAGGAUCUCACAAGAAGUCAGUGGGGAUGCCCUGGGUGAGGAGUUCAAGGGUUAUGUGUUUAAGAUUAUGGGAGGUUGUGACAAACAGGGUUUUCCAAUGAAACAAGGAGUUCUAACUCCUGGCCGUGUUCGACUUUUGCUUCA
rnacentral:misc_RNA from 1 species